rnacentral:rRNA from 1 species
UACGGAGGAUGCAAGCGUUAUCCGGAAUGAUUGGGCGUAAAGCGUCCGCAGGUGGCUGUGUAAGUCUGCUGUCAAAGAGCGAAGCUCAACUUCGUAAAGGCAGUGGAAACUACACGGCUAGAGUGCGUUCGGGCAGAGGGAAGUUCCUGGUGUAGCGGUGAAAUGCGUAGAUAUCUGGAGGAACACCGGUGGCGAAGGCGACGUCCUGGACCGGCAUUGACGCUGAGGCGCGAAAGCCAGGGAGCAAAGCGGG